GCGGUCAUAUCCACGGAAAAGCACCGAAACCCGUUAGAUCUUCGAAGUUAAACCCGUGUGAGCUCAGUAAGUACUAUGGUGGGCGACCACGUGGGAACAUUGAGUACUGCAAUUUUU
rnacentral:rRNA from 1 species